AUGGGUGAAGAACACUUGACCAUUGAUCCUUCUGAUCGAGCUGUUGAACAGGCAAUAGUUGCAUUGAAGAAGGGGGCACAUCUUUUAAAGUAUGGCAGAAGAGGGAAGCCCAAAUUCUACCCUCUAAGAUUAUCCGCGGAUGAAAAGUUUUUGAUUUGGUACUCUGGUGAGAAGGAAAACCAACUGAGGUUAAGUUCAAUCACAAAUGUCAUCCGCGGCCAAAAUACUGUUAUCCUUCAGCCUGAAAUGGAAAGUCAGUGCAUAUCACUUACAUAUGGAAGUAGUGACCGCACUCUUGAUCUGAUUUGCAAGGACAAAAUGCAGGCUGAUACUUGGUUUGUAGGCUUGAGAGCUGUAAUAUCCAUGACCCACCAUCACAGAAUGGUGGACCCUCUGAAAAGCAAAAGAGGCACACACAGUUGCAUCAGUAGUCCAGCGGGUUAUAUGCGGAGGAAACAAAAUCUUGGACUUUCAGCAAAGACAAUCAGACCUCAGGUUCGCAGCGUAGCGGGGAGCCCUACUCAGUCAUUUUCAGAAAGUUGUUUUACUGAUGGCUUAUCAUGUUCUUCCGAAAGCUUUUUCUCGGAAUCAAGCCUUUGGAGUGUGCAUAAUGUAACAGAUAAUGUCACGUCGUGUUCGUCAUAUUUUGAACGAGAUAACUUAAGCCAGAAUAGAGCCUCUUGUACUGGGACUGAAAUCCAAACUGACAUGCUUGCUCCACUUUCAUCAUCCAGUAGUGAGUCAAGACCAUUUGGAAAGAAUGUACUGCGGGAUGUUUUUAUCUGGGGAGAAGGAGCAGAAGGGGGAUGCUUGGGGGAUGGAGAAGUGAAGUUGGAUGCCUUGUCACCAAAAGUCCUCGAGUCCACUAUGAUGCUUGAUGUACAAGCAAUAUCCAUUGGUAGAAGUCAUGCGUCCUUAGUCACCAAACAAGGUGAAGUUUUUUGCUGGGGUGAAGGAAAGAAUGGACGGCUUGGGCAUAAACAUGAUAUGGACACUGCACGACCAAAAUUGGUUGACUCUCUUUACGGGGUUCAUGUAAAAUCUGUCACUUGUGGGGAAUACCAAACAUGUGCCGUGACCUCUUCCGGUGAACUGUACACAUGGGGCGACAACUCUUUUGGUGCUGAGUUAGUAGGUGAAGAAAAGAAGAGAAGCCAUUGGCUACCAAAAAGAAUAUGUGGUGCUCUGGAUGGUGUAAAAAUUUCUUAUGUUGCUUGUGCGGAAUGGCACACAGCAGUCGUUUCAACAUCUGGACAAUUGUUUACUUAUGGAGAUGGAACUUUUGGGGUUCUUGGUCAUGGGAAUCUCCAAAGUGUUGCUCAGCCCAGAGAAGUUGAGUCGCUUAGAGGUUUGCGGGUCAAAUGUGUUGCAUGUGGGCCAUGGCAUACAGCUGCAGUAGUGGAAAUCAUUAUUGACCGUCUUAAAUUCAACAAUCCAGGUGGGAAGCUGUUUACUUGGGGUGACGGAGACAAAGGAAGACUUGGUCAUCCUGGUGAGGAGACAAAGCUUUUACCGAACUGCGUGGCAAAACUUGUUGAUCAUGAUUUCAUUCAAGUUUCUUGUGCAAGCACCCUAACCAUUGCACUAUCUAGCACAGGAAAAGUUUAUACGAUGGGAAGUGCAGUGCAUGGGCAGUUAGGCAAUCCAGAUGCCAAAGAUAAAUCGCCAGUGCUUGUGCAAGGAAAACUUAGAGAAGAGUUUGUAACAGAGAUAUCCUCGGGAUCGUAUCAUGUUGCUGUGCUAACAUCAAGGGGAAGUGUUUACACAUGGGGGAAAGGUGCAAAUGGACAGUUAGGAUUAGGAGAUACAAAAGAGAGAAAUUUGCCAACUUUAGUUGAAUCACUGAGAGAUAGACAGGUGGAACAUAUCGCUUGUGGGUCAAGUACUACAGCAGCCAUAUGUUUGCACAAAUCUGCCUCUAGUACUGAUCAAUCAGUUUGCAGAGGAUGUGGCAUGUCUUUCGGAAUUACAAGGAAGAAGCAAAACUGCUACAAUUGCGGCCUUCUCUUCUGCCGCACAUGCUGCAGCAAGAAAACCACAAAUGCCUCUCUUGCCCCUGACAAGACUAAAGCUUUUCGGGUGUGCGGUCCAUGUUUUCUCCUACUUCAGAGGAUUGCUCAGUCAAGCAGGACAUCCACGCUUGAAAAUCAUAGUCCAAGACCCUUACCAAUUGCCCAUAAGGCAGUUACCCGCGAGAAAGUAGAGCGUGAAGAGGCAAAUACUACAUCAAGUCGAAUGGUGUCGACAAAAAAUUAUGCAACUGAGAACAAUCAAUGCUUUGACAGGAGAGGUGUCAACAAUCUAGGGGAGAGUAGGCAGUUCUCUGAUCCUGUUACAUCCUUGCUGGAUAGUUUUCCAAGAUGGGGCCAAGUUCCUUGUCCUGAAUUCUUUAGAAGAGACUAUGGACAGAUGAGAACCCAAAAUCAUCAUCCGAGGAAUUCGCUGGCUUCAGCUUCUCCAACUUAUUUGCAGCAGAUUCCCGUAGAACCAAAAGUUGUCCCCCCUACUGGUCUAACUAUGGAGGAAGACUUGCCAAAAUCAGACAAGAUCCUGUUCAAAGAAGUUUGCAAGCUAAGAACUCAGGUUGAAAGUCUUAAAAGAUUAUGUGAAACAAGAAAGGAGAAAAUUCAAGAGAGUCAACAAAAAGUUGAAGAAGCCUGGUCAGUAGCUAAAGAGGAAGCUUCCAAGAGUAAAGCAGCAAAAGAAGUUAUAAAAGCUUUGACAUCAAGGCUUCAGGCAAUGUCGGGGAACUUUUUUGCUGGAACAGAAACUAAUGUUCAAGCUAUAUCAAAUGUACUGCAGAUGACAUCAACAUAUUCAGAUAGUCAUAAUAAUAUAAAUGGACACCGAAUUGUUGUGCCUACAUGUGUGCCUCUUGCAAACACACAACUAGAGGACAAAAACAUUGAUAGCCUAUGUGGCUCUCCGAUUGUAUUCUCUAGUACUUUAAGAUCCUUCUACAACAAAGAAAACAAUGUGGACUCCAAAUCAGCAGAAGAAUCUCGUAAAGAAGCUGAUCAUGGCCAAGCCGAGCUCAGAACAUCAAAAGUUGAAUGGGUGGAGCAGUAUCAGCUCGGUGUCUUCAUUACAUUGACAGUGCUGCCAAGUGGAAAGAAAGGACUCAACCACUGCUUUGACAAUGUCAUAAAGCCCCAUUUUUGUUUUAUGACACCUGAGCCACUUGCACAAAGAUAUGUUUAUCACUCUAUUGGAGAGAAGUGGGCUGCAAUUAGGAAGGGGAGUGUUCAACGACCCACUGAAAAGAAAAGAUAAGAUUAUGGAUAAUGUUCCAAUAGGUAUUGCUCGGGAUCAAGGACUUCUUCCAUGAACUACUGUGCUAAAGAAGAAACUCAGAAUAUGUGUAAAAGAAAUGCUGAAAAAUCUGAAUAAGCAACCAUUCCUCACAGCCGGUGGUUCCAAACCUAAUUCUAGAAGGAGGACUGAAAUGGUGAAAGAUACAGCUGUGAUGGGGAUAAAGCCCGGACGAGUACAACUGUAUCUUAUACGCAUAAGAAACAAGGAUCAUAUGUGAGUGAGGAGGCAAGAGAAAUAUGUUAAGUUGAGCAAACAUUGGGUCGAACUACUAUGGUUGAGUCUGAAAUUUCUACAAAUGAUGCGACUGGUGGAGUGCUAGGAAAAGAGCGUCCUGGAAGGGUAAGAUGUUGGGAUAAAGUGCUGAACAGACACAUCUCCACGUCAAGUAAUGAUGUUACAUGUUCUUCACACUGCCAACAGAAGUACAACCAGUUGUUGAAUAUUCUCAAAGCAUACAUGAUAAUGACGAUAAUGAAGGAAGGGACAAUACCUGAACAAUGUUGUGAUCUUUACUUCUCCUACAACAGUGAACACUAGAGAUUUUUUGUUUUUAGGCUAAUGAUGCUUUUUUGAUUUUCUCCUUCACUUGUAAAAGAACUACAUCUACAAUAUGACAAUUUUAUAUGUCCGACAAGAAUUAAGAAGGAUUGGUCAGACAAAAUAUGAAGCGAACACUGAACCUUGAUAUACCUAGAACAAUAUAUUUUUGUUACCACGAAA